AGGGGAAAAAUCGUUUUAGUUUGCUGUGCCCGUUUCCCGUAAAUGUAAUGAGAAUUUGACGAAAUCACUGCAAAUAAGAAAUAUCAAUGGAUUCGAUCCCUCACCCUUGGAUAAACCAAUCACCAAUAGUACCACUUCUGCGCAUCUUCGAAGACUGGGUGCUUCCGUUGUUGUUGGUGGCAGUUAACUUAUUACAUCCCUUAAAAGAAAACAGAAUCUAUUUUCCUCGACAUUUUAGAUACGGUAAGAAUUAUUUCUAACUCGGAGGUUUCUAAGGUUCCUAUCUUUUUUGACCGCGGGUAAGAAAAAGAUUGGUGCGGUAACUUCUGAAUCUUACAUUCUGCUCCGUACCCUACAAACAACUCUGAUCGUUCGCACACCACCUCUACUCGCCUUCAAAAAACUAAUAAUUUUUUCGCCUUGAAAACGGCCAGAAUUUGGUGGAAUCACAACAAAUAAGGGAUAUCAAUCGCCUCCACCCACUAAUAUCGAAAAUCAUAUUUUUUAAAAAAUCGAUCAAAAAUCAAUGACACUUACCUUACGAGCACAGUAAAUGGGGUAUAUCCGCUUCAUGGUUUGUGUUGUUUUUUGUUAUUGAUAUUGUUGCUGUUGUUAUUUUGGCAGUCUAUUUUUUAUUAUGAUUUUUGUUAAUAAUUUCCUUAGUGAAGAUGGUAAUAACGAGGAUGACAAUGUUGCUAUUUUUUUUCUUGGUUAUAUGUUGUUGUGCUUCUUGCACUAAUCCACUCUUCUACGAUUGCUGCUGCUACUGCUGUUGUUGUUGUUGUUGUUUAUUGCGUUUACACUGCACGCAUAAUUUUCACAAUGUAACAUAGCAGCUUUCAAUGAAGUAUUCGUGUUGCCCUCUUUUAACAAUAAAUAAAGUAAACAACAAAUAAAUAUAUUUAUUAAUAACGUUGUUGUUGUCGAUCAUGACGAUUAUGAUA